rnacentral:pre_miRNA from 1 species
CAAAUACUCCCUCCGUCCGGAAAUACUUGUCAUCAAAAUGGAUAAAAGGAAAUGUAUCUAGACGUAUUUUAGUUUUAGAUACAUCUCUUUUUAUCCAUUUUGAUGACAAGUAUUUUCGGACGGAGGGAGUAGAAG